UGAGGAAUAUUGGUCAAUGGGCGCAAGCCUGAACCAGCCAUCCCGCGUGCAGGAAGACGGCCCUAUGGGUUGUAAACUGCUUUUCCAGGGGGAGAAUUUUUCUGUCGUGACAGGAAUUGACGGUACCCUAGGAAUAAGCAUCGGCUAACUCCGUGCCAGCAGCCGCGGUAAUACGGAGGAUGCGAGCGUUAUCCGGAUUUAUUGGGUUUAAAGGGUGCGUAGGCGGAUUGAUAAGUCAGUGGUGAAAACCUGCAGCUUAACUGUAGACUUGCCGUUGAUACUGUCAGUCUUGAGUAUGGUCAAGGUAGGCGGAAUGUGUAAUGUAGCGGUGAAAUGCUUAGAUAUUACACAGAACACCGAUUGCGAAGGCAGCUUACUGGGCCAUUACUGACGCUGAUGCACAAAAGCGUGGGGAUCGAACAG
rnacentral:rRNA from 1 species